rnacentral:rRNA from 1 species
UACGGGGGGGGCAAGCGUUGUUCGGAAUUACUGGGCGUAAAGGGCUCGUAGGUGGCCAACUAAGUCGGACGUGAAAUCCCUCGGCUUAACCGGGGAACUGCGUCCGAUACUGGUUGGCUUGAGUUUGGGAGAGGGAUGCGGAAUUCCAGGUGUAGCGGUGAAAUGCGCAGAUAUCGGGAGGAACACCAAUUGCGAAGGCAGCUCGCUGGGACGUCACUGACGCUGAGACGCGAAAGCGUGGGGAGCAAACAGG